AGAAAUCUAUUCUUAAUAGGUCUCUUAAAUCAAGUCACGGUAAAGUGCUUAACAUUCUAUGAUUCACUUAGCCGGGUUUUCAAAAUUUAAGGAAUAAAUAAUUGAAAACAAUUCUCUUGAGUUAAGAACACCAACAAUAUUCUUACUUAUCUUUCUCUUGUAAUUGGAAAUUAUAAAUAACCAAUUAAAUCAUGAUGCAAUGCAUGACUCAUUUCAUACAUAAAAAAAAUAGCACAAGUGCUCUACUCCGUUCUGCUCUGAUAUCUAGCUCUGCUCUGUGAUCUAGCUCUGCUCUGCAUUCUAGCUCUGUUGUGCAUUCUAGCUCUGCUGUUCAGCUCUGGCAUCCAGCUCUGACCUCCGAGCUCUGGCUCCCAGCUCUGGCUUUCCAGCUCUGGCCUUCCCAGCUCUGGCCUUCCCAGCUCUGGCCUUCCAGCUCUGGCAUUCCCAGCUUUGGACUCUCGCUACUCUGUUCAGCACUCAUCUCCCUACUUACCUCUUCAUCCCCAACCUCUGAACAUACGCCGACUCUCUCUUUCUCAGCCUACCAGUACAGCUCAUGCCGAUCACCUUCUUAGCAACGGCGAAGCGCCGUCACCUCCCUCUGUUUCCGGCAACCGCAGCAAGCCACGACCGCUACCCUCACUCUCCUCUACUCUCGACUUAUCCGCCCACACAGCCAACUCCACAAAACAACACACUCAAAACUCGAUUUACAGCAACAUAAAUCAAGACUCUACCUUUAUCCUUAUUCUUAUAACACCAACACCCAAUGUAUGCAUGCAUAAAACAUAACAGAGUAUGAACAUGUAUUUUUUUUUUUGAAAUCAUUUGCUCGAUCAUGAGUAAGAAUGAAAGGGCAAAGGAGUUCAUAGAUGAUACCUUGGCUUGAAUGCUGGGCUACUGUGUGAAUCGAGAAUGAGCUAUGGUAGCUGUUCUUGAAUUCGCUGGGUGCUGUUCUUGAGGUUCAGUCCAAGAGAGAUGAAGUGAGUUAAUGAGAGAAAAUGAUUUGGGCGUAGCAGCGGAGGAGAUUAUAUUUGAAGGGGGGGAAUAGUGAGGCGGUGGAGGUGGAGUGAAAUAUCUUGGUGAAGAUGGGUUGGACUUGAUGUGAAG
rnacentral:lncRNA from 1 species